rnacentral:rRNA from 1 species
UACGUAGGUGGCAAGCGUUGUUCGGAAUUAUUGGGCGUAAAGGGCGCGUAGGCGGUUCGUUAAGUCAGUUGUGAAAGCCCGGAGCUCAACUCCGGAGAGUCGACUGAUACUGGCGAGCUAGAGUACGGAAGAGGUAACUGGAAUUCCCGGUGUAGCGGUGAAAUGCGUAGAUAUCAGGAGGAACACCGGCGGUGUAGACGGCUAUCUGGACAGCUACUGACGCUGAGACACGAAAGCGUGGGGAGCAAACAGG